UACGUAGGUGGCAAGCGUUGUCCGGAAUUAUUGGGCGUAAAGCGCGCGCAGGCGGUUUUCUAAGUCUGAUGUGAAAUCUUGCGGCUCAACCGUGAGCGGUCAUUGGAAACUGGAGAACUUGAGUGCAGAAGAGAAGAGCGGAAUUCCACGUGUAGCGGUGAAAUGCGUAGAGAUGUGGAGGAACACCAGUGGCGAAGGCGGCUCUUUGGUCUGUAACUGACGCUGAGGCGCGAAAGCGUGGGGAGCGAACAGG
rnacentral:rRNA from 1 species